GCGGGUGUGGCGGAAUUGGUAGACGCACUGGAUUUAGGUUCCAGCGCCGCAAGGCGUGGAGGUUCGAGUCCUCUCACCCGCACCA
rnacentral:tRNA from 13 species